CGAAAACUGCCAUUUAAUGCUCGGUUUACUUUCUCUAUCUCUUACACCGGUUACCUCACUUCCGAUUAAAUUAAUGAUCCCGAAUUAGCUGCGAGAGGAGCGCGCGAGUCGUCAAGCCCAGUAGUUCAAUGCCCAAAGCAGAUUUUCCGACCUGCAGAAAGAAAGGAGAGCAGGGAGGUCACCAGCUUUCACAGGCAGGAGAGGUGCAGGGACCUGGGAGGCGCGAGAGCACCGGUCACCGCUCAAAUUACCUCAUCUCCCCAGCUCCCCGCCCCUUUCUCAAACCUGGAAGGAGCGUCUCCUCGGGUAGGGUCUCCCCUCCCGCUCCCGGCUCCCCAGCGGCUCUGGAACUGGCGCCGGCCUCCCCGGGGUCCGCCUCCCGGGGCCGCGCGCAGCGAAGGGUUAAGGGCGCGGGCCGGCCGCCGCGCCGUGCGCUCGCCGUGCUCUGUGCGGCUCGCCGGGCCGCCUGCCAGAGGGUGCCCCCACCCCCCCAUGAAGUCGGAUCCUUGAGCUGCGGCGGCGGCAGCCAACUGCUCCAUAUUUGGCUUCUAUUACACAUUUACAUACUGGAGCGRGCGAGCGAGCGAGCGCGAGAGAGCGCGAGGGAGGGAGGGCGGGCGCAGGGAGGAGGGAGGGGAGGGGAGCGGGAGGAGGGGGAGGAGGAGGAGGAGAGAGCAGAGUAUACCGCAGACAUCAUUUCUACUACAGUGGCGGAGCCGUACAGGACCUGUUUCACUGCAGGGGGAUCCAAAACAAGCCCCGUGGAGCAGCCGCCAGAGCGACAGCAGCCGCAAGACAUUGUUUCUCUCCCUCUGUCCCCCUUCCCCACGCAACCCCAGAUCUAUUUACACUUUACAGUCCCAGACCGAAAGUGCUCGUGGACAUCUCUUCUUGCCCCAAGAUCUUCAUUGGAAGCCCUUCGGAUUUGGUGUCUUUGCUGUUCCAAGUCUUAAUGAACUUUCCAGGAGGCAAACUGUAUCACCAUUUUUUCUGGGCUACCCUAGUGGAUGACACCCAGCUUCCGAGACCUCCUUUCGGACCUCGUCCCUGAGAGCCAGUGUUUUAGCUGUCUCCUGGUCAGAAGCCUGUUUUGGACCGGUUCUGAGCUGGUGCAGGCUUAGUCACUAAUGGCCAGGAAGCUGCUGUUAAAUGUGCUGCUUGAUCAGCUUACAGCCACCCUGCACUUGCCACGGGCAGAGCAUGCUUCCUUCUUGAGCUCUUGGGGAGUCUCUGCACCAGUCCACUAGAAACAAGGCAUCCAUCCAUUCUUUCCAUCUUGGCGGUUACCCAGGGCCAUAUCCUGAGGUGACCUGCAGUAGAGGGAGUGGAGGAUAAAUUCACCUUGCACAGGCUUGUUCCUGCUAGUUCCAGCCUGUCUCUCCCCACAGAUCAAGCUUUUAAAUAUGCCAGUGAUUGGUUUUGUGUAGGAAUGUGUGGAUUGUUGGAUUGGAAGCAUUCUCUCCCCGGAUUUCUCAUGUUUACAUAAGCAGACAUUUUUUUAAAAAAAUGUUCUAUUGCUGAUUUAAAUAGCAGGGCUUAUUUUAAAAAGUUAUGGGUGCUUAAAGGUGGUACAGAAUAAAAAAUGCAAAGUUUUGUUUUUCUUCA
rnacentral:lncRNA from 1 species